GAUGAACGCUAGCGGCCAUGGACGUAGAAGAGGUGACGAUGCAAGUCGAGGGGCAGCAGCUUUAUAGCAAUAUAGAGGCUGGCGACCGGCAAACGGGUGCGGAACACAAAAAAAACCUUCCUUGAAUAGGGGGAUAGCCCAUAGAAAUGUGGAUUAAUACCCCGUAAUAUAGCGGUGUGGCAUCACACUGUUGUUACAGUUUCGACGAUUCGAGAUGGGUGUGCGGCUGAUUAGGUAGUUGGCGGGGUAAAGGCCCACCAAGCCUUCGAUCAGUAGCUGAUGUGAGAGCAUGAUCAGCCACACGGGCACUGAGACACGGGCCCGACUCCUACGGGAGGCAGCAGUUUGGAAUAUUGGUCAAUGGACGCAAGUCUGAACCAGCCAUGCCGCGUGAAGGAUGAAGGUCCUCUGGAUUGUAAACCUCUUUUAUAGGGGGCGAAAAAAGGUCUUUCUAGAUCACUUGACAGUACCCUAUGAAUAAGCACCGGCUAACUCC
rnacentral:rRNA from 1 species